GACGAACGCUGGCGGCGUGCUUAACACAUGCAAGUCGAACGGUAAGGCCCCAGCUUGCUGGGGUACACGAGUGGCGAACGGGUGAGUAACACGUGGGUGACCUGCCCCGCACUUCGGGAUAAGCCUGGGAAACUGGGUCUAAUACCGGAUAGGACCGCACCGUGAGGGUGGGGUGGAAAGUUUUUCGGUGUGGGAUGGGCCCGCGGCCUAUCAGCUUGUUGGUGGGGUAAUGGCCUACCAAGGCGGCGACGGGUAGCCGGCCUGAGAGGGUGGACGGCCACAUUGGGACUGAGCCACGGCCCAGACUCCUACGGGAGGCAGCAGUGGGGAAUAUUGCACAGUGGGCGGAAGCCUGAUGCAGCGACGCCGCGUGGGGGAUGACGGCCUUCGGGUUGUAAACUCCUUUCACCAUCGACGAAGGUUUUCUGACGGUAGAUGGAGAAGAAGCACCGGCUAACUACGUG
rnacentral:rRNA from 1 species